rnacentral:rRNA from 1 species
AUUGAACGCUGGCGGCAUGCCUUACACAUGCAAGUCGAACGGCAGCACGGGUGCUUGCCCCUGGUGGCGAGUGGCGAACGGGUGAGUAAUACAUCGGAACAUGUCCUGUAGUGGGGGAUAGCCCGGCGAAAGCCGGAUUAAUACCGCAUACGAUCCACGGAUGAAAGCGGGGGACCUUCGGGCCUCGCGCUAUAGGGUUGGCCGAUGGCUGAUUAGCUAGUUGGUGGGGUAGAGGCCUACCAAGGCGACGAUCAGUAGCUGGUCUGAGAGGACGACCAGCCACACUGGGACUGAGACACGGCCCAGACUCCUACGGGAGGCAGCAGUGGGGAAUUUUGGACAAUGGGCGAAAGCCUGAUCCAGCAAUGCCGCGUGUGUGAAGAAGGCCUUCGGGUUGUAAAGCACUUUUGUCCGGAAAGAAAUCCUUGACUCUAAUACAGUCGGGGGAUGACGGUACCGGAAGAAUAAGCACCGGCUAACUACGUG